ACCUGCCAUCUCGGAGAGUCGUCGUCGUCGUCUCGUGUCUUUGUCAUCAAAUACGCCAGGAGGUCGUAUGCUUGAACUGCGUCGCCGUUCAGAACCAAAUCGCAUGGGAACCUUCAGCAUUUUCUGUCAUACAAAUAUACUAACGUUAGCCCACGGGAACAGCAUGCCCAAACUGAAGAGUCCAAGAGACACUCCACCCGCCAUGCCGUUGAACGACAAUGCGAGCUGUAGAACAGGCCCUAGUCGUUCCACCAAGAAGACCAGCGCGAAUGACAACGCACCGAAUGCCAGGCACACCCAUCGUGCUAUCUGAUACGAAGGUAAUCUUAUGCCAAGAAGUCCUGUUGCCAAAUCUUGGCACGCAAUGGCGGCUAAGGAAUUCAGUGCUGAUGCUACAGUCCUGUCAAUAAAUAUUACGUAAAAUAGGACACAUAAGACGAGUUUACACAGCCUUGUGCUCAUUAACACAGAUUUUUAGCGUGAAAUGAUGCAUCUGAUACAAAAUACUAAUAAUUAUUGUUAAUUAACACGUGUUCAACUAUUUUUGCCCACCAUAUUUUGUCGGUCUCCAACUUUGUAAACACAUUUGCCGUUGAAAAUUAAAUGAGAUAACUAAAUAGUUGUACAGUGUACAGUCGCGUGCAAUGAAAUGUAUACGUUCAUUUAUUUUCGAAAAUAUGUAAACAUUAGAUAUUUCGAAAAUAUGUAAACAUUAGAUAUUUCAAAAAUAUGUAACCUUGUGUUCUUUUCAAAAAUAUGUAAUCACGACAUCGUUUUAAAAAUUGUAUACUUUUAUUUCAAAGAAAAGUAAACAAACUACAACCUACAACUAUACAACUAUAAAC